rnacentral:rRNA from 1 species
AGAGUUUGAUCCUGGCUCAGGAUGAACGCUAGCGGCAGGCUUAACACAUGCAAGUCGAGGGGCAGCAUGUCCAGCAAUGGAUGAUGGCGACCGGCGGAAGGGUGCGUAACGCGUGAGCAACAUGCCCUAUACAGGGAGAUACACCAGGGAAACUUGGUCUAAUAUCCCAUAGCAUUCAUUGAAGGCAUCUUUAAUGAAUUAAAGCUUCGGUGGUAUAGGAUUGGCUCGCGUGACAUUAGCCAGAUGGUGAGGUAACGGCUCACCAUAGCAAUGAUGUCUAGGGGUUUUGAGAGGAAGGCCCCCCACACUGGGACUGAGACACGGCCCAGACUCCUACGGGAGGCAGCAGUGAGGAAUAUUGGACAAUGGAUGGAAAUCUGAUCCAGCCAUGCCGCGUGCAGGAAGACGGCCUUAUGGGUUGUAAACUGCUUUUAUACGGGAGCAAUAAGGGUUACGAGUAAUCCGAUGAGAGUACUGUAUGAAUAAGGAUCGGCUAACUCCGUGCCAGCAGCCGCGGUAAUACGGAGGAUCCGAGCGUUAUCCGGAAUUAUUGGGUUUAAAGGGUGCGCAGGCGGUGACUUAAGUCUGAUGUGAAAGCCCACGGCUCAACCGUGGAAGGUCAUUGGAAACUGGGUCACUUGAAUAUAGAAGAGGAAAGUGGAAUUCCAUGUGUAGCGGUGAAAUGCGUAGAUAUCACACAGAACACCGAUUGCGAAGGCAGCACACUAAGUCAUUAUUGACGCUGAGGCACGAAAGUGUGGGGAUCAAACAGGAUUAGAUACCCUGGUAGUCCACACUGUAAACGAUGAUAACUCGCUGUCGGCGAUACACAGUCGGUGGCCAAGCGAAAGCAUUAAGUUAUCCACCUGGGGAGUACGACCGCAAGGUUGAAACUCAAAGGAAUUGACGGGGGCCCGCACAAGCGGAGGAACAUGUGGUUUAAUUCGAUGAUACGCGAGGAACCUUACCCGGGCUCGAACGGUGCAUGAAUAUACGAGAGAUUGUAUAGUCCUUCGGGACAUGUAUCGAGGUGCUGCAUGGUUGUCGUCAGCUCGUGCCGUGGGGUGUCGGCUUAAGUGCCAUAACGAGCGCAACCCUUGUCAUUAGUUGCCAUCAGGUCAAGCUGGGGACUUUAAUGAGACUGCCACCGUAAGGUGUGAGGAAGGGGGGGAGGACGUCAAAUCAGCACGGCCCUUAUGUCCGGGGCGACACACGUGUUACAAUGGGAGGUACAGAGGGCAGCUAUCCGGUGACGGAAUGCUAAUCUCCAAAACCUUUCUCAGUUCGGAUUGGAGUCUGCAACUCGACUCCAUGAAGGUGGAUUCGCUAGUAAUCGCGCAUCAGCCAUGGCGCGGGGAAUACGUUCCCGGGCCUUGUACACACCGCCCGUCA